UACAGAGGGUGCAAGCGUUAUUCGGAAUUACUGGGCGUAAAGGGUGCGUAGGUGGUUAUAUAAGUUAGGUGUGAAAGUCCUGGGCUUAACCUGGGGAUUGCGCCUGAUACUGUGUAGCUAGAGUCCUGUAGAGGAAAAUGGAAUUUCCGGUGUAGCGGUGAAAUGCGUAGAUAUCGGAAGGAACAUCGGUGGCGAAGGCGACUUUCUGGACAGAGACUGACACUGAGGCGCGAAAGCAUGGGGAGCAAACAGG
rnacentral:rRNA from 1 species